UGGGUAGUCUGGAUCAACUGAAGUACGUUUCCAGGAUAAACGCCUGACAUCCGUCCUCUCUCUGUGUUU